CCAGUAGCAGUUAAGCUGCCAGCAUGAUCUUGUCUUCCUCUCUUAAGUUUCACACAUAUAUAUAUAUAUAUAUAUAUAAUCAAGUAAAUUAGGAUUUUCUAUAUUUCUUGUUCUUAUAUAAAGAUUAUAUGAUCGUAGCUUAGAGAGAGAGAGACUAGGUCAUGCUGGUAGCUUCACCUGCUAAUGA
rnacentral:pre_miRNA from 1 species